rnacentral:rRNA from 1 species
UGAGCAAUCUGCCCUUCUCAUCGGAAUAAGCGUUGGAAACGACGUCUAAUGCCGAAUACGACCUCCUUUCGCAUGAUCGGAGGUGGAAAGCUCCGGCGGAGAAGGAUGAGCUCGCGGCCUAUCAGCUAGUUGGU